UACGGAGGAUGCAAGCGUUAUCCGGAAUUAUUGGGCGUAAAGCGUCCGCAGGUGGCACUUCAAGUCUGUCGUCAAAGACCGGGGCUUAACCCUGGAAAGGCGAUGGAAACUGAAAGGCUAGAGAGAGGUAGGGGUAGAGGGAAUUCCCAGUGUAGCGGUGAAAUGCGUAGAGAUCCGGAGGAAUACCUGAGGCGAAGGCGGCCAGCUGGGCUUGAUCUGACGCUGAGGUGCGAAAGCGUAGGGAGCGAACAGG
rnacentral:rRNA from 1 species